rnacentral:rRNA from 1 species
GAUGAACGCUGGCGGCGUGCCUAAUACAUGCAAGUCGAGCGAACAGACGAGGAGCUUGCUCCUCUGACGUUAGCGGCGGACGGGUGAGUAACACGUGGAUAACCUACCUAUAAGACUGGGAUAACUUCGGGAAACCGGAGCUAAUACCGGAUAAUAUAUUGAACCGCAUGGUUCAAUAGUGAAAGACGGUUUUGCUGUCACUUAUAGAUGGAUCCGCGCCGCAUUAGCUAGUUGGUAAGGUAACGGCUUACCAAGGCAACGAUGCGUAGCCGACCUGAGAGGGUGAUCGGCCACCCUGGACCUGCGACACGGUCCAGACUCCUACGGGAGGCAGCAGUAGGGAAUCUUCCGCAAUGGGCGAAAGCCUGACGGAGCAACGCCGCGUGAGUGAUGAAGGUCUUCGGAUCGUAAAACUCUGUUAUUAGGGAAGAACAAAUGUGUAAGUAACUAUGCACGUCUUGACGGUACCUAAUCAGAAAGCCACGGCUAACUACGUG